UACGAAGGGGGCUAGCGUUGUUCGGAAUUACUGGGCGUAAAGGGCGCGUAGGCGGUCCUGAUCGUCGGAUGUGAAAGGCCUGGGCUCAACCUGGGAACUGCAUCCGAUACGGCGGGACUGGAGUGUGGGAGAGGUUGGUGGAAUUCCCAGUGUAGAGGUGAAAUUCGUAGAUAUUGGGAAGAACACCGGUGGCGAAGGCGGCCAACUGGACCACAACUGACGCUGAGGCGCGAAAGCGUGGGGGAGCAAACAGG
rnacentral:rRNA from 1 species